CUCAACGACCGUACCGCAAACCGACACUGGUGCGCGAGAUGAGUAUUCUAAGGCGCUUGAGAGAACUCAGGAGAAGGAACUCGGCAAAUUGACACCGUAACUUCGGAAGAAGGUGUGCCCUAUUAGUGUGAAGUGAACAACGGAGCAUGAAUGGGUUGCAAAAAAUCGGUGGCUGCGACUGUUUAUUAAAAACACAGCACUCUGCAAACACGAAAGUGGACGUAUAGGGUGUGACGCCUGCCCGGUGCUGGAAGAUUAAAUGAUGGGGUGCAAGCUCUUGAUUGAAGUCCCAGUAAACGGCGGCCGUAACUAUAACGGUCCUAAGGUAGCGAAAUUCCUUGUCGGGUAAGUUCCGACCUGCACGAAUGGCGUAACGAUGGCCACACUGUCUCCUCCUGAGACUCAGCGAAGUUGAAAUGUUUGUGAUGAUGCAAUCUCCCCGCGGAAAGACGGAAAGACCCCAUGAACCUUUACUGUAGCUUUGUAUUGGACUUUGAACAGAUCUGUGUAGGAUAGGUGGGAGGCUUUGAAGCAGGGUCGCUAGAUCUUGUGGAGCCAACGUUGAAAUACCACCCUGGUGUGUUUGAGGUUCUAACCUAGGUCCAUUAUCUGGAUCGGGGACAGUGCAUGGUAGGCAGUUUGACUGGGGCGGUCUCCUCCCAAAGCGUAACGGAGGAGUUCGAAGGUACGCUAGUUACGGUCGGACAUCGUGACGAUAGUGCAAUGGCAUAAGCGUGCUUAACUGCGAGACUGACAAGUCGAGCAGAUGCGAAAGCAGGACAUAGUGAUCCGGUGGUUCUGUAUGGAAGGGCCAUCGCUCAACGGAUAAAAGGUACUCUGGGGAUAACAGGCUGAUACCGCCCAAGAGUUCAUAUCGACGGCGGUGUUUGGCACCUCGAUGUCGGCUCAUCUCAUCCUGGGGCUGUAGCCGGUCCCAAGGGUAUGGCUGUUCGCCAUUUAAAGAGGUACGUGAGCUGGGUUUAAAACGUCGUGAGACAGUUUGGUCCCUAUCUUCCGUGGGCGCUGCAGAUUUGAGGAAGCCUGCUCCUAGUACGAGAGGACCGGAGUGGACACACCUCUGGUGUAUCGGUUGUCACGCCAGUGGCAUUGCCGAGUAGCUAAGUGUGGAAGAGAUAACCGCUGAAAGCAUCUAAGCGGGAAACUCGUUUCAAGAUGAGAUCUGCCGGGGCCUUGAGCCCCCUGAAGAGUCGUUCAAGACCAGGACGUUGAUAGGUCAGGUGUGGAAGCGCAGUAAUGCGUUAAGCUAACUGAUACUAAUUGCUCGUGCGGCUUGACU
rnacentral:rRNA from 1 species